GGGGUUGUGGCUCAGUGGUGGAGCACUUGCCUAGCACAUAUGAGGCCCUGAGUUCGACCCUCAGCACCACA
rnacentral:tRNA from 1 species